UGAUGUAAAGCGGCCAAGCAUGCUGCUAAAUAAAAUACCUUUGAAGGGACGCAUGAAGUAAACUUCCGGCUUUCCUGUGUGCCUGCCUUCAAGGUCCACAGCUUUGAAGAAGCCGGAGUUGAUUAUGUCUGGCACACGACAAACAAAGAGAGGGCGGGGAGACGGGGACAAAUGCCACGUUUCUGAGUCCGUCUCCGAUGGAGGCUGUGACGGGGCCGCGGCGCAUUCCUGUCCGGCGCUGUCACCUCCCGGCGCUCCGCUGGCGUUUCUCAUGGGACUGUCGCAGCCUGGCCAGCGAUCGGGCUCCACGCUUCCUUCCCCCAGCCUUUGUUGGCUUGCUGUGUGGCUUUUGGCAGUUUUUCCAGAACAAAUCGGACAAUGAACAGCGUACAAGGCGACAGAAGACAUUUCCUCCCGGCUAAGUCACAUUGUAUUUCAUUGUGGGAAAAUUAUAAAAGGCCUAUUGAAAAUGUACC